rnacentral:rRNA from 1 species
ACUCCUACGGGAGGCAGCAGUGGGAAUCUUGGACAAUGGGGCAACCCUGAUCCAGCCAUGCCGCGUGAGUGAAGAAGGCCUUAGGGUCGUAAAGCUCUUUCGCCUGUGAAGAUAAUGACGGUAGCAGGUAAAGAAACCCCGCUAACUCCGUGCCAGCAGCCGCGGUAAUACGGAGGGGGUUAGCGUUGUUCGGAAUUACUGGGCGUAAAGCGCGCGUAGGCGGAUUGGAAAGUUGGGGUGAAAU